GGGGUUAUACCUUAGUAGCAGAGUGCACUUUAGCGUGCAGGAGGUCCUGGGUUCAAUUCCCAGUACCUCCA
rnacentral:tRNA from 1 species